rnacentral:rRNA from 1 species
CDSCCCUUCUGAUCUAUGCAAUCUAAGAGAUUAGACGUUCCCUUCGGGGACAUGGAUACAGGUGGUGCAUGGUUGUCGUCAGCUCGUGUCGUGAGAUGUUGGGUUAAGUCCCGCAACGAGCGCAACCCUUAUUAUCAGUUGCCAGCAUUAAGUUGGGCACUCUGGUGAGACUGCCGGUGACAAACCGGAGGAAGGUGGGGAUGACGUCAAAUCAUCAUGCCCCUUAUGACCUGGGCUACACACGUGCUACAAUGGAUGGUACAACGAGUUGCGAACUCGCGAGAGUAAGCUAAUCUCUUAAAGCCAUUCUCAGUUCGGAUUGUAGGCUGCAACUCGCCUACAUGAAGUCGGAAUCGCUAGUAAUCGCGGAUCAGCAUGCCGCGGUGAAUACGUUCCCGGGUCUUGAA